rnacentral:rRNA from 2 species
GACCUCGGAUCAGGUAGGGAUAC